rnacentral:tRNA from 1 species
CGGGGUAUGGCGCAGUUGGUAGCGCGCUUGCAUGGGGUGCAAGAGGUCCCCCGUUCGAGUCGGGGUACCCCGACCU